GAGUGGUUAAGAUAAUUUUAAACUAAGGCCAAACGACUUUUUAGCUGUUAUACGCGCGAGAAGACAUGAAGCCCAACUACGAAAGUGGCCUUAAGCCCCUGACCCCACGAAAGCUAGGACACAAACUGGGAUUAGAUACCCCACUAUGCCUAGCCCUAAACAUUGAUAAUACCCUACCCAGUUUAUCCGCCCGGGGACUACGAGCGUCAGCUUGAAACCCAAAGGACUUGGCGGUGCUUUAGAUCCACCUAGAGGAGCCUGUUCUAGAACCGAUAAUCCCCGUUCAACCUCACCUUUCCUUGCUCAUUCCGCCUAUAUACCGCCGUCGUCAGCUUACUCUUUGAGGAACCAGCCGUAAGCGCAACUGGUACAACCUAAAACGCCAGGUCGAGGUGUAGCGAAUGGAAAGGGAAGAAAUGGGCUACAUUCAAUAACAAUAAUGCAUACGAACGAUGUCCUGAAAUAAACAUCUGAAGGAGGAUUUAGUAGUAAGUAGAGAGUAGAGUGCUCUGCUGAAGCCGGCCCUGAAGCGCGUACACACCGCCCGUCACUCUCCCCGAGCUAACCAUAAAAAUUAAUAAUAAGCAAAACU
rnacentral:rRNA from 1 species